CAGCACCUCAAGUGGUCAGGAUGAUUAUUGGGCCUAAAGCAUCCGUAGCCUGCUUUGUUAGUUUUCGGUUAAAUCCAUACGCUCAACGUAUGGGCUGCCGGGAAUACUGCAGCGCUAGGGAGUGGGAGAGGUAGACGGUACUCGGUAGGAAGGGGUAAAAUCCUUUGAUCUAUUGAUGACCACCUGUGGCGAAGGCGGUCUACCAGAACACGUCCGACGGUGAGGGAUGAAAGCUGGGGGAGCAAACCGGAUUAGAGACCCGCGUAGUCC
rnacentral:rRNA from 1 species